rnacentral:rRNA from 1 species
UACGAAGGGGGCUAGCGUUGCUCGGAAUCACUGGGCGUAAAGCGCACGUAGGCGGACUCUUAAGUCGGUGGUGAAAUCCUGGAGCUCAACUCCAGAACUGCCUUUGAUACUGAGAGCCUUGAGUUCGGGAGAGGUGAGUGGAACUGCGAGUGUAGAGGUGAAAUUCGUAGAUAUUCGCAAGAACACCAGUGGCGAAGGCGGCUCACUGGCCCGAUACUGACGCUGAGGUGCGAAAGCGUGGGGAGCAAACAGGG